GACGAACGCUGGCGGCGUGCCUAACACAUGCAAGUCGAACGGAAACGCACUGCAUUUUUGGGGCGCUCGAGUGGCGAACGGGUGAGUGACACGUGAGUAACCUGCCCCUCACUUUGGGGGAACAUCAGGAAACUAGGGCGACUACCACAUAGGAGCUCCUGCUGCAGGGUGGGGGGGGGAUAGGUUCGGUGGUUGUGGGUGUACGCGGGGGUUAGCGGCUCGUUGGUGGGGUAGUGGCAUACACAGGCAUGGAGUGGUAGCCGGCCUUUGAGGGUGAACGGCCACAAUGGGACUGAGAGACGGCCCAGACUCGUACGUGAGGCAGCAGUGGGGAAUCUUGCACAGUGGGGGGAAGCCUGAUGCAGCAACGCCGCGUUCGGGAAGACGGCUUUCGGGGUGUGAACCGCAUUCGGUUGAGACGCAGCGUGAAUGACGGUAAUGAGUGAAGAAGCACCGGCUAACUACGUG
rnacentral:rRNA from 1 species